rnacentral:rRNA from 1 species
GACGUAGGGCGCGAGCGUUGUCCGGAUUUAUUGGGCGUAAAGCGCGUGUAGGCGGCCAGAUAGGUCUGCUGUGAAAACUCGAGGCUCAACCUCGAGCUGUCGGCGGAAACCAUCUGGCUAGAGUCCGGAAGAGGAGAGUGGAAUUCCUGGUGUAGCGGUGAAAUGCGCAGAUAUCGGGAGGAACACCGGUGGCGAAGGCGGUUCUCUGGGCCUUACCUGGACGCUGAGGCGCGAAAGCCAGGGGAGCAAACGGG